rnacentral:lncRNA from 1 species
GAGAAAAACGACUUCUACUUUCCAAUGUAUUUAGAAAGGAGCCCCGAGCUAAAGCUUCCUCCAGUCCUACU